rnacentral:lncRNA from 1 species
CCCUCCUUAAUAAAAAUUUCGUCCUCGAAAUUUAUAGAAUCUAGUCUUUCCAAAUUCAGCAAUGUUCAGCUCAUUGAGUAACAUAUAUCUAAGAUCUUAUUCUCUUCGAUCAAAAUUAGUGAGAUAUAUAACUCUUGAUCAACUGUCAAAAAUUUUAUACAUACGAGUAAGAUUAGCACUAGAUAAGUGACUAAUUAAAAUCUAAGAUUGCAAUGAGAUCAGAUUGGGAUCAUUUGACAACAAGAUUGAUAAAAAUAAUUGUAUUUGAGAUAGAUCUUGGAAUAAAAUAGAUUUCAUGCACUUAUUAUGGUAGAGUACUAAUCCCACAAAAGAUAUCGACCGGCCUUAAUCAGAGUCAAAUCAUUAGAUAGUUAGUAAUGGGAUUCACAAAAUGAACAUGUAAUGAUUAUCAUUAGACAGCAAUGGUCUAUCUCAAAAUGAUUGGCAUCAAAUCACAAGAACAAAUCCAAGAAGACAAAAUAUUGAUACCAUAUUGAAUAUGUCACAAGGCUUGAUUUAUAACUCAUAACGAUGGAACAAAUAACACAUGGUUUAUUUCGAUACUUAAAAAUUUAGAUCAUAUCUAAUU